CUGAGAGCCCUUGACAGCAUGGCGUGGGGUGUGCGCCUAUUUAAGGUUUAAAAGCACCACUCCUGCAAAGACAGUACAGUUACCUGUGGAGAGCAGAGAGCCGCCCGGAGGGACAGACAGCGGACCGUGAAGGGCCUGCUGGGAUGGGGGUGGGGGAACUGAGGCUGAAAGAGAAGAAAGGAUUUAGCCAAGGCCACCUCCUGAAUUAGGAGCCACGUGACCUAUCCUACUGCUUCUCAGCAAGAAGCCUGGCCCCAAAUCUCCUCCACUCCCCGCAGCUGCCGCCCCCCGCUGUUUCCAUUAGAGAGUCGUUCUUCCCUGUUUACCCUGUGAGCGGCUGCCCCCCGCCUCCGCCCCUGCUAGGACGCGGGUGUAUGAGAGUUGGGAUUUUUGUCUCCUGCUGUACGAAGUAGCCGAGAGAAGAGAAUCGGCACUGAUGAUCAGAUUUUUAGCUCGACAUACCCACAAAACCGGCUCUAAGAUGAAGACACACGUGGUUUCCAUCCCCAGAAGCUCCCCUGUGCUCCCUCUGGUCAGCACCCGCCCCCCGCCCAAGGGGACCCAUCCUCCCCUUCCUUGUUCCUGACUUUCCUGCACCUGGAGCCACGGCACCUGCUCCUUCCACGUGCCGGCUUUCUGCUCCCCAUGUGUGAGAGUCACCCGUGUGGGCAGCGAGGGGACCCGUGGGCUUUUAGCUUAAGCAACCACGUGGGCAGUGGUGCCACCUCCUGAGCUGGGAUGGCCAGCGGGGAGCAGGGAAUCCAGAGUUCUGCCCAGAGUUCAGGCUGAGAGUGUGGACGCGGGCCUGGGGCUGGAGACGGGAGUCAGGCAACAUCAGCCCAGGGACGACAUUAAAGCCAUGAGAGCAGGAAUUAUCCAGUCUCUUGCUGCCACAGAUUCAGGGCCACCUGCUCCAGGUCAGGCCUCCCACCUGCUCUCCACUGGGAGGCACCUAAAGGAC
rnacentral:lncRNA from 1 species